GCUUCGAAUUGUGACAUCCAGAACUAGUGGUGUGGAAAUGGAAUAGAAAAGACGAUUUUUUUCUUAAUGGAAAUACGGCCUUGCAGAGUUCUAGAGCUAUUUUGCCUGUAAUAUUUUUGCUGACGUUUUUUAAAUUGUUUGGGUUAAAACAUUCUUUUUUAAAUUUUUUCGUUCCAAUUCUUUAUUCCUGUAUCGAUCCCAUCUUAUAUUACAGCGUUUUCUUUGUGUUUUAUUUUUAUUUCGAAAGUCAUCACAACUAUACUAUUGCAGUUAAGCCUAAGACUAGACAUAAAAUUGUUGAUUCAAAUGUCUGCGAAGUGGUAUUGAAUUACCAAGUUCUGAAAUUGUCGAACUCAGAAGCGAAGGGAUGCGAUUAAGGAUUGGUAAGAUGUACUAACGUAGACUAAACUUAGGAAUAGAGUUGUUAAUUUUACAGUUAGAACAUAGCAAAAUGUAAACUUUGAAUUGCACCCGACAAAGGACGGCGAUCGAAGAUUUUGCUUCAUUUGAGGCAGAGACCGACCGCCCGAUAUCAAGAACAGGAGAGAGAAGGCACAUCGGGAUUGCAGUAUGAAUUGAAAAAUGAAGAAAUUAGGGUAAUUUAAUUUACCUGUUGCAAUUGAUGUGAUGAGACGGAAUGUAGAAAUGUGACGAAUUUUGAGCAUAACUUGAUCACAUCUACAACAUUCAGAACAGUAUUACUAAAAGAUAUGAACGUACGACCUUGGUGACAAAGAAAAUGUUGCUUCGAGAUCCCCAGAUACAAUGUUCAGGGUCUGGUGUAAUGCGAAUCGUUAAAAUCUCCUAUUGUAAUGUAUUUUAAUAUGAAAGACUGAGAAAUAUGCCCGUUAACGAAUUUUUAUGUCAUGUAGAAAUUUUCUCUCGCAGUAUUUUUAAUACGAUUUUGCAUAGCAUCUUUUGUCCCGACUGACUUGCUUUCCAAAUUUACCGAUUUGAACUAAGUCUGAUAAAAGGUGUCCAUAUAGUCCAUUUACAAUUUCUUUAUAAAGUAAGUUCUCAAUAUAUCUUACCCAGGUUUGUUAUUUUAAUCAGUAACUUGUUCAGAUAUUUUUAUUUCGUUUAAUACAUCUGUUGAGGGCCAAAACAAUAAAAUGGUAAUGAUAAAUUUUCUUUGCAAUUUCAAAAAAAUUCGAUUUUAUGACACGUUAUAUAUCUGAAGCAAUUUAAGUCAUUACAGUACGGAAAACAGUUGUUUUGCACCAUUAUAACCCAAUAUUAUUGGAAUAAACGUAUUAAAAUAAAUAAAUAAUAAGCAGAUAAAUAUCAAUAAUUCUAAUCGUGCCGAUAACCUUAUAAGAUCUCUGCAAAAUGAGAUGUCCUUUUUUUCCAAUUUUUGUCCCAAUUUUUGUACAAUUCUUACGACUAAAGCGGUUUCGAUAACAGCCCUUUACGUAAAGUUUUCGGUUGCAAUUAUGAGAACCUGAGAGUUGAUGCGUUUUUAUUGGUAAUUGAUUCUGAGAUGAGGGUGUCCAGUCAAAUAAUUAUCCUAAUCGUCCAGAGAUUAAUAUCAAGGAGGUUUGUCUGUAUUCGUGAAGCUCUGGUUUAGCUCUAAAUGUUCAUGUUUUAUAUACAUAUCGCCCCUGCUCGAUGUAAAGUAUGUGAAAAAAUAAACAACUGCUCGAGACUAUGAUUGUGCAAGUGUGCGCUAAAAUUCAUCUAUAUUUGUUCGAUUUAUUAAUAUAAAAUUUUUUCAUGUCUUUGAUAUUCCUCACCGAUUUAUAUAUAUUAUUCUGU